rnacentral:tRNA from 1 species
GCCUCUGUAGCUCAGUUGGUUAGAGCGCUGCACUGCAAUUGCAGGGACGUAGGUUCAAUUCCUACCAGAGGACA